AAAGGGGGAGCGGAGGUAGGGUGGUGGUAGGGUUGUACAUGAAAACGAGGUUGUUUAGGUUUAGAGUCCCUAAGUUUGUCUUCAAUAAGCUUAGCUAGACCAAUGGCCUGGGCUAUAGAAUAUGGGUUCAAUAUGGUGAGCUCUCUACGGAUUUCAAUAUUCAAUCCAGAAAUGAAACAAUUAAGAAUGGUCUCCGGAGUGAGACCCACAACA
rnacentral:lncRNA from 1 species